rnacentral:rRNA from 1 species
GGGUUGUGAGGUUAAGCGACUAAGCGUACACGGUGGAUGCCCUGGCAGUCAGAGGCGAUGAAGGACGUGCUAAUCUGCGAUAAGCGUCGGUAAGGUGAUAUGAACCGUUAUAACCGGCGAUUUCCGAAUGGGGAAACCCAGUGUGAUUCGUCACACUAUCAUUAACUGAAUCCAUAGGUUAAUGAGGCGAACCGGGGGAACUGAAACAUCUAAGUACCCCGAGGAAAAGAAAUCAACCGAGAUUCCCCCAGUAGCGGCGAGCGAACGGGGAGGAGCCCAGAGCCUGAAUCAGUGUGUGUGUUAGUGGAAGCGUCUGGAAAGGCGCGCGAUACAGGGUGACAGCCCCGUACACAAAAAUGCACAUGCUGUGAGCUCGAUGAGUAGGGCGGGACACGUGGUAUCCUGUCUGAAUAUGGGGGGACCAUCCUCCAAGGCUAAAUACUCCUGACUGACCGAUAGUGAACCAGUACCGUGAGGGAAAGGCGAAAAGAACCCCGGCGAGGGGAGUGAAAAAGAACCUGAAACCGUGUACGUACAAGCAGUGGGAGCCUCUUUUAUGGGGUGACUGCGUACCUUUUGUAUAAUGGGUCAGCGACUUAUAUUCUGUAGCAAGGUUAACCGAAUAGGGGAGCCGAAGGGAAACCGAGUCUUAACCGGGCGUUAAGUUGCAGGGUAUAGACCCGAAACCCGGUGAUCUAGCCAUGGGCAGGUUGAAGGUUGGGUAACACUAACUGGAGGACCGAACCGACUAAUGUUGAAAAAUUAGCGGAUGACUUGUGGCUGGGGGUGAAAGGCCAAUCAAACCGGGAGAUAGCUGGUUCUCCCCGAAAGCUAUUUAGGUAGCGCCUCGUGAAUUCAUCUCCGGGGGUAGAGCACUGUUUCGGCAAGGGGGUCAUCCCGACUUACCAACCCGAUGCAAACUGCGAAUACCGGAGAAUGUUAUCACGGGAGACACACGGCGGGUGCUAACGUCCGUCGUGAAGAGGGAAACAACCCAGACCGCCAGCUAAGGUCCCAAAGUCAUGGUUAAGUGGGAAACGAUGUGGGAAGGCCCAGACAGCCAGGAUGUUGGCUUAGAAGCAGCCAUCAUUUAAAGAAAGCGUAAUAGCUCACUGGUCGAGUCGGCCUGCGCGGAAGAUGUAACGGGGCUAAACCAUGCACCGAAGCUGCGGCAGCGACACUGUGUGUUGUUGGGUAGGGGAGCGUUCUGUAAGCCUGUGAAGGUGUGCUGUGAGGCAUGCUGGAGGUAUCAGAAGUGCGAAUGCUGACAUAAGUAACGAUAAAGCGGGUGAAAAGCCCGCUCGCCGGAAGACCAAGGGUUCCUGUCCAACGUUAAUCGGGGCAGGGUGAGUCGACCCCUAAGGCGAGGCCGAAAGGCGUAGUCGAUGGGAAACAGGUUAAUAUUCCUGUACUUGGUGUUACUGCGAAGGGGGGACGGAGAAGGCUAUGUUGGCCGGGCGACGGUUGUCCCGGUUUAAGCGUGUAGGCUGGUUUUCCAGGCAAAUCCGGAAAAUCAAGGCUGAGGCGUGAUGACGAGGCACUACGGUGCUGAAGCAACAAAUGCCCUGCUUCCAGGAAAAGCCUCUAAGCAUCAGGUAACAUCAAAUCGUACCCCAAACCGACACAGGUGGUCAGGUAGAGAAUACCAAGGCGCUUGAGAGAACUCGGGUGAAGGAACUAGGCAAAAUGGUGCCGUAACUUCGGGAGAAGGCACGCUGAUAUGUAGGUGAAGUCCCUCGCGGAUGGAGCUGAAAUCAGUCGAAGAUACCAGCUGGCUGCAACUGUUUAUUAAAAACACAGCACCGUGCAAACACGAAAGUGGACGUAUACGGUGUGACGCCUGCCCGGUGCCGGAAGGUUAAUUGAUGGGGUCAGCGCAAGCGAAGCUCUUGAUCGAAGCCCCGGUAAACGGCGGCCGUAACUAUAACGGUCCUAAGGUAGCGAAAUUCCUUGUCGGGUAAGUUCCGACCUGCACGAAUGGCGUAAUGAUGGCCAGGCUGUCUCCACCCGAGACUCAGUGAAAUUGAACUCGCUGUGAAGAUGCAGUGUACCCGCGGCAAGACGGAAAGACCCCGUGAACCUUUACUAUAGCUUGACACUGAACAUUGAGCCUUGAUGUGUAGGAUAGGUGGGAGGCUUUGAAGUGUGGACGCCAGUCUGCAUGGAGCCGACCUUGAAAUACCACCCUUUAAUGUUUGAUGUUCUAACGUGGACCCGUGAUCCGGGUUGCGGACAGUGUCUGGUGGGUAGUUUGACUGGGGCGGUCUCCUCCUAAAGAGUAACGGAGGAGCACGAAGGUUGGCUAAUCCUGGUCGGACAUCAGGAGGUUAGUGCAAUGGCAUAAGCCAGCUUGACUGCGAGCGUGACGGCGCGAGCAGGUGCGAAAGCAGGUCAUAGUGAUCCGGUGGUUCUGAAUGGAAGGGCCAUCGCUCAACGGAUAAAAGGUACUCCGGGGAUAACAGGCUGAUACCGCCCAAGAGUUCAUAUCGACGGCGGUGUUUGGCACCUCGAUGUCGGCUCAUCACAUCCUGGGGCUGAAGUAGGUCCCAAGGGUAUGGCUGUUCGCCAUUUAAAGUGGUACGCGAGCUGGGUUUAGAACGUCGUGAGACAGUUCGGUCCCUAUCUGCCGUGGGCGCUGGAGAACUGAGGGGGGCUGCUCCUAGUACGAGAGGACCGGAGUGGACGCAUCACUGGUGUUCGGGUUGUCAUGCCAAUGGCACUGCCCGGUAGCUAAAUGCGGAAGAGAUAAGUGCUGAAAGCAUCUAAGCACGAAACUUGCCCCGAGAUGAGUUCUCCCUGACCCUUUAAGGGUCCUGAAGGAACGUUGAAGACGACGACGUUGAUAGGCCGGGUGUGUAAGCGCAGCGAUGCGUUGAGCUAACCGGUACUAAUGAACCGUGAGGCUUAACCUUACAACGCCGAAGGUGUUU